UGCGUAGGCGGAUAAAUAAGUCAGAGGUGAAAGCUUUCCGCUUAACGGGAAAAUUGCCUUUGAUACUGUUUAUCUUGAAUUAUGUUGAGGUUAGCGGAAUGUGACAUGUAGCGGUGAAAUGCAUAGAUAUGUCAUAGAACACCAAUUGCGAAGGCAGCUAGCUAGGCAUAUAUUGACGCUGAGGCACGAAAGCGUGGGGAGCGAACAGGAUUAGAUACCCUGGUAGUC
rnacentral:rRNA from 1 species